rnacentral:lncRNA from 1 species
AAUGAGAGGAUUUGCCAUAAAGGAGGUGGAAUGGUGUUGUUCCCAACGGUGUCUUAUAGGCGGUCUGUAGGCCCAAAGUGCAUUAUCAAGUUUCCUAGACCAAUCUUUUCUGGAAAUUCCUACAGUUUUGAUAUACCAUAGAUUUGACCCAUUUUCAUCCAUGGUAUAUAAGUGUUUUACUAUCUAUAUACUAUAUAUUCUAUCCUAUUAGGUAUGUUUUAAGGUUCAAAGGUAUCUUAGAGGAAAGUGAUGAUUAUGGAGCAUUUACGAGCUUAAAAGAGAUUUCAUCCGAGCUGACCAUUAGAGGUCGAUACGAAGAAGAAGAAAUCAAUCGAUGUACAUCCUGU